UAUAAAGAUUAAUAAUAAUGUUUCUGUUUUAGUAAUUUACACAUUAAGUUAAAUUCUUAUAUAA
rnacentral:tRNA from 1 species